GUUAGACCCAAUUGAUGAGCCCAAGGGACGAGGACGGAGCGGUCAACUGACUGAUAGUAGAAGAGCAGUCGUUCAUUCACUUGCUACCCGCUGAUUGCCGUUAGCAUGACAAUCUAACACGGUAAUCCAGAAGUUCAACAUAAAGGUCUCUUGCUGGUCAUCUUCUGUCAAUGAGGACUUGUACCACAACGGCUAAUUUAUCACACCACAGAUCGAAUGAGGAAUAACCUAAUUAGAAAACAAUCGCAGAAAUGGAAUAAAAGUUGGGCGAUGCUUGGGGAGAAAAAAAGUAGUUGAUAAAGGUUCGCUGAGUGUUGGGGCAGACAAAACCCAAAAGAAUUCAAAAUUGAGGAUUAAAAAAGAAAAAAGAACAGAACAACGGACAUAACAGAUAACAGGUAACGAUUGGCUGUCGGCCGUCGGGCAUCCGGCGUUCUAGUGUUGUAGAGGGGUGGGCCGUGGUUGACACGCACGUCCGAUGGAUGACGGCUAAAUACCUGGUAGUUGACAGUUGACAGACAACAGUCGACGAUUGACACAACAGUCGACGAUUGACAAUUGGAUGGUUAUAAGGGUGCAAGAAUGGUUGUGUUGAUAGGGCGGCUGGUGCAUCUUACAUAGCUUAGUGUUUAACGUCUAGCCUACUACAUGAAAGAAAAGGCUGAAAGGGGGUUGCAAAAAAAGAUUAAGGGCGGCAGUUGUUGAAGUAUGCUAGAAGGCGACGCUCGGCUGGGCGCAGUCGUACUGGUGAAGUCUUGUAUUUUUGAAUCCAAGUCGAUCCGCAGUGUAUCUUCCACUUAUGGUCAACUUCACAGCAUAGAGGUAACAUCAUCUGGGUUUUGCGCGUUAAUUCCGCUUUUACGCCAUUUAUUGUUUUACGAUAGCUGAAACCUUAC
rnacentral:sRNA from 1 species